AGGAAGAGCUUGCUGCUUUGCUGACGAGUGGCGGACGGGUGAGUAAUGUCUGGGAAACUGCCUGAUGGAGGGGGAUAACUACUGGAAACGGUAGCUAAUACCGCAUAACGUCGCAAGACCAAAGAGGGGGACCUUCGGGCCUCUUGCCAUCGGAUGUGCCCAGAUGGGAUUAGCUAGUAGGUGGGGUAACGGCUCACCUAGGCGACGAUCCCUAGCUGGUCUGAGAGGAUGACCAGCCACACUGGAACUGAGACACGGUCCAGACUCCUACGGGAGGCAGCAGUGGGGAAUAUUGCACAAUGGGCGCAAGCCUGAUGCAGCCAUGCCGCGUGUAUGAAGAAGGCCUUCGGGUUGUAAAGUACUUUCAGCGGGGAGGAAGGGAGUAAAGUUAAUACCUUUGCUCAUUGACGUUACCCGCAGAAGAAGCACCGGCUAACUCCGUGCCAGCAGCCGCGGUAAUACGGAGGGUGCAAGCGUUAAUCGGAAUUACUGGGCGUAAAGCGCACGCAGGCGGUUUGUUAAGUCAGAUGUGAAAUCCCCGGGCUCAACCUGGGAACUGCAUCUGAACUGGCAAGCUUGAGUCUCGUAGAGGGGGGUAGAAUUCCAGGUGUAGCGGUGAAAUGCGUAGAGAUCUGGAGGAAUACCGGUGGCGAAGGCGGCCCCUGGACGAAGCUGACGCUCAGUGCGAAAGCGUGGGGAGCAACAGGAUUAGAUACCCUGGUAGUCCACGCCGUAACGAUGUCGACUUGGAGGUGUGCCUUGAGCGUGCUUCCGGAGCUAACGCGUAAGUCACCGCCUGGGAGUACGGCCGCAGGUUAAACUCAAUGAUUGACGGGGCCCGCACAUCGUGCACAUGGGUUAUUCAUGCACGCAAGAACUUACUGUCUUGACAUCCACGAACUUUCAAGU
rnacentral:rRNA from 1 species